GGGGACGCUGUGCGCACCUAUAUAGCCCGUUGCUGUAGCAUGCGGUGAACCACGACAGCUCGCCUCCUACGGUACCGCCUAGACGCGCGACGGAGCGCUUCACACCGCUUCAGUGAUUCCUUUAACCAUUGAGCUUCAUCAUCCAGGACUCUUAUGUGUCUUCGUGUGCGCAGAAUUAUGUUUAAGCACCUCGUGAUUUUUAUCUUGAGAGGCGCUAUAGAAAUGAUAUUUUCUUCUUCUUCUUCUUAACAUGAGUCCGAUCCCCCCAUCCCCCGGAACUUUUCCCUGCUGUGUGAACGCAGCAGAAGUUACAAGUUCCGGUACAAAAGUGGUGUGUCUGAAAACACAGUUCCAGUUAAAAAACGGAUUGAAUUGGCCACACAUGUUCCAGAAUGUCUAUCUGAAAAGGGCUUAUGUCUUUGUACCACUUACCCAAGGGGAGUGGAACAAACAGUUUGUAUCCUGGAUGGGUCUAGUCUAUGGCGAUACAUCUAGCUUUCCUCUGAAGCCGACCCACAUACACUGAGUCCAGGUCAGGCAAAGGACCGCCCACAAUCCCCUGCACUGUUCUCAGCACUCAGAUCAGGUCCUUUCUGUCUUGUGCUGUGCAGCUUUCAUACCAUGCAGUCACACUGAAAGCAAUAAUAUUCUCUAUUAUGACCCUAUAGAAGUUUAUGAGCAGAUGGAAGGAGAGUCCAGUCCUCUUCAGUUUCCUUUCCUUAAGACAAAUAGUCUGUGUUGGGAGGUUUUCAGGGUCCAGGUCAGAAUAGAUGUAAUGUACACGCCCAAGAACCUGAUGUUGUCCACCUGUUCCACCACCUCACCAUGUAUGGCGAGAGGGCUGUGUUCCCAUAUCCUGGUUCUUCAGUAGUCCACUAUUACUUCCUUGGUUGUGUUGGUGUUAAAUGAACAUUCGGUCAGAUUUUGAAUCUCCUGCCUGUAGUGGGUCUCAUCAUUGUUUGAGAUGAGACCCACCACAGUGGUGUCAUCCAGUGGCGGCUACAGAAUUUUUUUUUCUGCAGGUGCUAUGAAGGAGCUAGUCUUUUUACUGAGAGUGCUAUGAAGGAAGUGGUCAUGCGUACCUAUUGUUCUCUAAAACACCUUCAACACUAGCAGAUACACAUGCAUGCACAAAACCUCAACCAACAACACCUGAAACAAUCAUUAAUAUACAUCAUAAACAUAUGAACAAUCGCUGACUUUUCCAUGAAAUCAUAAACACAUACAGCCACACAGAAAACCAUCUAUAGUGUUGCAAGGUUAGCUAACGUUAGUGUUAGCAUUUCCUGCGGCAAAACCCUCGACUGCUGCAGCGGUUGAAGGUUGACUCUCUUCAUCCAGAUCCGUAGGUUUUUGUGGGUCUGACAUCACUUCCAAACAUUCAUUUGUUUCUGACUGAGCCUGUGGAAAUUUGGGCAACAAAAAUCAAUCCAUUUUACCACUAGCUCUACCUUUCACUCGUUCGCAGGUGGAAAAUGAGGUCAAAGGUUAACAUCAAUUUCCUGUUUUGGUUUACGUUUUUACUAUCUAUAUGGUAAUUUACUGAUUAUUUUUGUUUUGUAUGUUAAAUGUUAUCACAUCCACACGUUAAAUUAUAAUUAAAUAAAAAAAAAUCUAAUAUUUACUUGGGGGUGCUAUGUGGGUGCAAUGACUAAUCCAGGGGUAGCUAUAGCGCCCCCUGGCACCACCACUGGUAUCAUCUGAAAUCUUCGCUACCAGAUUUGAGGGAUACGUGGCAGCACGCCCCCGUGUGAACAUGGUGAAAAGGGCUGGGCUGAGUGCACAGCCCUGUGGGGUGCCUGUGGUCAGUAUCAGAGUAGAUGAUGUAGGACUUCCCAUCCUCAACCUUGUAUUUUAAUAUGGUGGUGUUUCACAAACUAUGAUUCCAAUUCUCGCGCUGCUCUGGGUGGCUGCAUGUUGGAGUAGCUCUGUUAACUACAUGUAAGUUCUGCCUUUUUUGGGCAUUUUUUCUUCUAGUGUCUUUACUGUAUUUUUUGGACCUUUUACUUUUCUGUUUCUGGUGCUGUGAAGCUUAGAGGAAUUUUACUGCUAUUUUUUCACUUUUUUCAUUUUUUGAGCAUUUGUUAUGAUGCGUAACCAUGUCAACAAGCUGGUUUACAAUCGGGAGCAGCUGAUUAACAUUGAAAAGGCUGAAAUAAUACCUCAACUGAAGCCACAAAUCCCAAAUGUGCUAAAACGAAAGAAGUGUGGAUGCAGAGCAGGAACAAAACUGAGACAAAGAAAGAGGAAAUUCAAACCAUCUCUUCCAUCGAUUAUAAUGGACAAUGUGAAAUCACUGGCCAACAAGAUGGAUGAACUCCAAGCCCUUUCAAGGACUCAGCCAGAGUAUCAGCAGUCCAGUGUUAUGUGUUUCACUGAGACGUGGCUGCAGGCCCAUAUCCCCGAUUCCAGAGUCUCUCUGCUAGGAUUCCUGACUGUACGAGCAGACAGAGAUCUGAAGAGGAGCGGGAAAAGAAAAGGAGGUGGAGUGACAGUGCUUGUCAACAACAGAUGGUGCCAUCCAUGUCAUGUUUCAGUGAAAUGUCGUCUCGGCAGCCCAGAUGUUCAACUCUUGACAGUAAGUUGUCGCCCAUAUUAUUUGCCAAGAGAGUUCACCAGUGUUGUCUUGGCAACCAUUUAUAUUCCACCUUCAGCCAUUGCUGAAUUGCAUAUGAUGCCAUCAGUUCCGUUGUCGCUAAGCUACAAACCCAGCACCCCAAUGCAUUUGUGACUAUAUCUGUUGAUUUUAGUCAUGCCUCGCUCUCUGCUACACUUCCAACAUUUGAAACGUUUGUCAGCUGCUCCACCAGAGAAAACAAGACAUUGGAUUUGUGUUAUGCAAAUGUAAAGAAUGCAUACAUGUCCAAAACAAGACCUCCUCUGGGACAAUCAGAUCACAAUCGUGUUCCUCUCUGCUCAGAAUACAAACCACUUGUUCAGAGGCAACCUGUGACAAGAAGAAUUGUGAGAAAAUGGUCACAGGAUGCUGAAGAAGCCCUGCGGGGUUGUUUUCAGACCACAGAUUAGAUGACUCUCUGCCAAGGAUAUGAAGAGGACAUCAAUGCCAUGACUGGAUGUGUCACUGACUAUAUAAACUUCUGUGUGGACAACAUCAUACCCACCAGAACAGUGGGAGGCCUAGCUAAUAACAAACCCUGGAUCACCAGUGAACUGAAUAAUCUGCUAAAUGAGAAAAAAAGAGCCUUCAAGGAGGGAGACAGGGAAUUAUUGAGGAGUAUACAGAAGCAACUGAAAAUCAAGAUCAGAGACAGCAAGGAGGCAUACAGGAAGAAGAUGGAGAACAAACUACAGAGGAACAAUAUCAGAGGUCUGGUCAGGGAUGAAGAAGAUCACAUGCUACAAGCAGAGGAAGGAUUGCACAGAUGGCAGCCUGGACAGAGCCAAUGAACUGAACAAGUUCUUCAAUAGGUUCAGUUCAGGAAAAAACCCAGCAUCCUCCUUGCCUGUCCCCAGCCAAUCAGACAUCCCAUCCUCCUCUGAUCCAACAUUUUCCUGCCAGCUCUUUUGUCCUCUAACGCAGUCAUGGACUCUUCUGGUUCUAUAAAUCUGUCUUCAACCAAGUCAGGAGAUGCUGCUGCCCGAUUUACCUCCCUGUCCCACCUAUCUGUCUCUAGAAGUCAGGUGAAGAGGCAGCUGGAGAUACUGAACAGAAACAAGGCUGCAGGUCCAGAUGGUGUCAGCCCCAGGGUACUGAAGGCCUGUGCAGAGCAGCUCUAUGGGAUUCUGCAGCACCUCUUCAACCUCAGCCUGGCCCAGGAGAAGGUUCCAGUCCUGUGGAAGACAUUCUGCCUUGUUCCAGUUCCAAAGAAAACUCGCCUAUCAGUCAAUGACGACUACAGACCAGUUGCCCUGACAUCCCACAUCAUGAAGGUCCUGGAGAGACUCCUGUUGGUCCACCUGAAUAAGCAACUAGGACAUAUCAGGAUCCGCUGCAGUUUGCUUAUUGCCAUGGAGUUGGAGUGGAAGAUGCCAUCAUCCAGCUGCUUCAACCAACCCACUGUCAUCUGGACAAAGCAGGCAGCACUGUGAGGGUCAUGUUCCGUGAUUUCUCCAGUGCAUUUAACACAAUCCAGCCUGAUGUACUUUGCCAGAAACUCCAGAAGACACAAGUGGGGGCCUCAACUAUCGCCUGGAUUAAAGACUACCUGACAGUUUGACUUCAGACAACAGUUUGUGAGGCUGAAGAACUGCACAUCAAACCAGGUGAUCAGUAACAUUGGAGCACCACAGGGGACUGUACUCUCACCAUUCCUUUUCACCCUGUACACCUCAGACUUCCAGUACAAAUCAAAGACCUGUCAUCUACAGAAAUACUCAGAUGACUCUGCAGUUGUCGGGUGUAUCAGAGAUGGAGAGGAAGCUGAGUACAGAGAGCUGGUGGAGCGCUUUGUGGCAUGGUGUGGAAACAAUCAUCUGACCUUGAACGUGAACAAAACAAAGGAGAUGAUUUUAGACUUCAGAAGAAACAGGGUGGAGUCAAACACUGUUUCCAUCAUGGGAGAAGAAGUGGAGGUGGUUGAGGAAUACAAAUACCUUCGAGUUCACCUGGACAACAGACUAGACUGGAGAAAGAACAGCCAAGCCAUUUUCAAGAAGGGACACAGCAGACUGCACUUCUUGAGGAUGCUUAGGUCCUUCAAUGUAGCAAGAUGCUGCAGAUCUUCUACAAGUCUUUGAGAGUGUAAUCUCUUCAGCCAUCGUCUGUUGGGGUAGUAGCAUCAGAAGCAGGGACCUGAAAAGGCUCAACAGCCUAAUAACAAAGGCUGGUUCUGUUCUGGGGACGACUGUGGAACCACUGGAGGAGAUGAUGCAAAGAAGGAUUCUCCAGAGAAUCAAGAAAAUGAUGGACAACCCUGAGCAUUCUCUUCACAAGACUGUCCGACAACAGAAGAGUGUCUUCAGUCAGAGGCUUCUUCAGUUUUGCUGCAACACUGACCGCUACUGGAGAUCCUUCCUGCCAACAGCCGUUGUAAUAUACAAUAACUCUUUGAUGACUUGAUUAUUAUUAUUAUUCUGAGCUACUACAGCAAUCAAUUUCCCUCUGGGAUUAAUAAAGUAUUUUUGAAUUGAAUUAACCCAGCUCCAUGUACUCCUAUUUAUUCUGUAUCCUAUGAAUUGUGUGAUGGGUGGACCCUUGUAGUAUUAAAAACUGCAAAUUAAACUAAAGCAAAAACUUUAGCUAUGAACUAAAUUUACUGUGUGUCUUCUUUUCUUGUGCCAUUUAUUUUCAAACAGUUGAAUUUUACUACUCGGAAGUCUGAAUUUUUAUGUUCAGAGGAGAAAACUGACACACCAUUAGCUGAUAGCAAGGCAAGCUAAAGUAUAAAAGUAACAUUAUCUUAAACAGUUAAUUUACCUGCUGGAGCAGAUUAAAAUGAUGAUGCUUCACUUAGGUUGUUGUUGACAUCAUCAAACAACGGCCAUAUUAGUGCAAUACAGAACCUUUACGUUUAACUAGUUCAUCCUAAUACCUCAACAUGUGACGGUUUACAUUUAAAUUAUGUUUACAUUAUAUUUCAGUUGGCAGCUUUAAUUUGUCUUAUUACCGUGCUUACAUUAUACUUUUACAUUUUUGCACUUUAAACUAGCUGUGUUUGUGUGUUUGUGUGUGUGUGUGAGAGAGAGAGAGAGAGAGAGAGAGAGAGAGAGAGAGAGAGAGAGAGAGAGAGAGAGAGAGAGAGAGAGAGAGAGAGAGAGAGAGAGAGAGAGAGAGAGAGAGAGAGAGAGAGAGAGAGAGAGAGAGAGAGAGAGAGAGAGAGAGAGAUGUUUUUGUAUUUUAAUCAUAUUUUACUAUUUCUUACAUGAACCAUCUUUGAGGGGAGAGCGAACGUACCAUUAGCUGAUAGCAACGGAAGCUCAAACAUCAAGCUAACGUUAUCCAACAGUUUAUUUACUUGCUUGUGUAGAUUAAGACGAUGAUAACCAACUUAGAACGUUGUCAAUGUUGUCAUCAUCACCAAAUCACCCAUUGCAUUUAGUGAAGUGGACCCAAACUUUAGAACGCAUUCUGUCUAUCAUGCUGCCUGCUCUGUUUACAGCUGGUCUGCAUUGAUGGUCGACAUAAUUCUCUUGUGCAUGCGCUGCUCUAUGUACAGAAACAAGGCACCAUUUCAUAUCAUGUGAAUCGGUCCUUGGUCGGUUAGAAUUAGGGUUUAAAACAAAGGUGUGUAUGUCAGUAAAGUUAAACUGUGCAGGGAAAUGGCAAAAUAGAGUACAAGAAACUACGAGCAGACCAGAUUGGUAUCAUGUUUGUUUUUGAAUUUUUUUUAGCAUAGCCACUGAAACCUCUUUAAUUCAAUAAAAUGGUAAAUAGCCUGUAUUUGUGUAGUGUCUUCUUAGGGUUCUGCAACCCCCCAAGGUGCUUCACAACACAGUCAGUCACCCACCCAUGCACACACAAAAUGCGGAAAUGCAGACUGUACCGCGCAACGCUGUAGCUUUUUUAGCUGUAGUCAAAAAUGGCGUCUAGCAAUGGAGCAAACCUCUUUCUUUAGAAGAAAGGCUUUUAGCGCUUCUACUUCUUGUCCAUGUCCAAGUCUUUAGAACAGAGGCCAUCUUCAUUGUAAAUGUGUGACGUACGCUGCUCAGGGCUCAUUGGCUCGGUUAGAAUUCUCAGGGGGUGGGGUUAUUUGAAUAGUAAAGUUCCCAGACCCAUGCUUCCCAUAAGGAAGCUGGUCUGGCUGGUCAGGCCCCAAUUAGACACCUGUGACUGGAAUACACCUGGCACUCUUGAAGCUCGGGACAAGAGUGAAAACAAUUUAUUGUGCAGCUUGUUGAUGUGCAAAUUGCACUGAGAAAACUAAAAAAGGGUUAAUGCAAACACAGUUGUCACUAUCUAAACUAAGCAAACCUAUGACAAUCAAGCAUACUUUGCUCUGUUUGCCAUGUGGCACAGUCUAUCCCUGAACAUACUUGCUUGCUACACAGGUAGUACAGGUAGGUUGCCCAAGAUAAGCCAAAGUGGGAUAUUAGCACCAUUUUUGGGUUAAACACAUCCAUCCAUUCAUUGUCUUCUGCUUAUCCGGAGUCAGGUCACGGGUGCAGCAGCCUAAGCAGGGAGGCUCAUAUUUCCCUCUCCCCAGCCACAUGGGCCAGCUCCUCCGGGGAAAUCCCAAGGCGUUUCCUGGCCAGCCGAAAGACGUAGUCUCUCCAGUGUGUCCUGGGCUUCCGUUGGGUCUCCCCCUGGUUGGACGUGCCCAGAAAACCCCAACAAGGAAGCGUCCAAGGGGCAUCCUGACUAGAUGCCCGAGCCACCUUAACUGGCUCCUCCUAAACACUUAUCAUAAAUGAGAUCUUAGCUCACUGGCUAGCUGCCAUUUUACACCAACAAGAAAAUAUUGCAGAAGAUUUUGGCUCAUUUUCUUUGGCUUAUUGUCAAUUACACGAAAAAGACUCAUUGUCCAGGGUAUCCACGGGUCCUUAGAAAGUCUUAAAUUUGCUUUUCCAAAUUUAAGGCCUUAAAAAUCCUUAAAAAUGACAAAUAAUCCUUAAAUACAGUUUCCAAAGGUCUUAAAUUACCAAAGACCCAACAAACAAAAUAAUUUUGUUUCUAUUAAAUUUAGUGAAUUUCUAGUUAGUAUUCAACAUUUUUUGUGUACGAUUUUGGCGUAAGCCGAACCGUACACAGUCGGUUGGUUGUGAAAGGGGACUAUUUUUAGAUGAGCACAUUAGCUGGUUAAGCUAGCGGGAGCUUGCGCCAUGGAGAAGUGCAAGUUUAAUGGUAACUGCAUGGUUAAUCCCACUUUUGCGAUGUGGUUAGUACCGGUUCCAGGCAAUAGCUGGAAAUUAUAGCUUAAAUUUAAUUUCAAAAGUAGCUUAAAUUUGGUCAAAGUGGCCUUAAAAAAGGUCUUAAAAAGUCUUAAAUUUGGCUCCCUUAAACCUGCAGAUACCCUGUUGUCUUUUUGGGCUCUGGGGCAGGCCAGCCCAGUAACUGGGGCAGUGAACACCAGAAGAACACAAGAAGAUACAGAGUAAAUAAUCCAUCACACUUACCUACACACACUCAUGGCUGUGUUUCUCAUUCCACAACUGCAUGGUCCUCACAAGUUCCACCUCGUAGUACAGGUGACUAAUCAGGCUUUUUGGCGAUACAGGAUUUACCACCGUGUAGACUUCUGACAACAACACAAUGAACACAAAUGUCCUGGCUUUUUGUCCUAAUGAAGGUCUGCAUGUGGAACAUGCAAACGAUUUCAUUUAAUCUAAGAGUUCAAAAGGGUCCUGUAAACGCAGACCAUUUAAACAACCUCAUACUGGCACAAAAUAAAGUAAUAUUUUUAAGAGACAAUCACUGGAAGAACUGUUUCCAUGGAGACCUUCUAAGAAAUAAGAAAGCAGUAAGCUGAUAGCAAAGUGCUACAUCAUCAACAACACAUAGAGACAAUGUGGUUAAGGGAGAAAAGGACUGGUUUCCUUAGGCACUCGAUGUCUAGACAUUUAAGUCUUUGUAAGGAACAUUUUGUGGGGAGUCUCACUGAUUUUUCUUAAGCUUCUCUGGUUUCUUCCAAUAAUUCAGAAACAUACUUUCUGGAGUCAUAUUUGUACUAAAUUCACUCAAAGACACAAAAAAAAGGGACACAGUGUCUUCUCACUUAACGCUAAGCAUUAAGGGGUUGGACUGGGGGGUUAAACCACCAAAUGGCUCCCAAGCGCAGCUGUGUCUGCAGCUCACCACUCCCCCAGGCGAUGGGUCAAAUGCAGAGAGCAAAUUUCACAUACACCAGUGUGUGACAACUAGUGGAACUUUCCAGCGUUUUGGUUGUGUUGUGUUAAAACAGUGUUUCUCAACCCUCUAGUGAUGGGAAUUCCGGCUCUUUUUAGAGAGCCGGCUCUUUUGGCUCAGCUCACCAAAAAGAGCCGGCUCUUUCGGCUCCCAAAUGGCUCCUCAGAUUUUCUGUUGCGUAGAGUACAUUUAUAACCAAAAUAAUGCAAAACUAUAUGUAAAAUGAUUUACUAAUGUAAACAAAUGCAAUAUAUCAAAUAUUUAUCAUUUCUAUGGAUUUAAUAACUGAACACUUAAAGAAAUCUUCACUUUCCGACUGCUGGCGCUCAUUUUCUCACCGUCUUCGUCGCAUUCUCCUCUCUAUCUUGCUCGCCUUUUUCCUCCUCCUCAUUCCCUCUCGUCUACCUCCACCCGCAUGUGCUCUGCUGUGUGUCUGAGUCUGAUCCUCCAUCUUCCCCGUCCCUACUGCUCUGUGUGUGGACAGUCUGGUCACAAUUACACAUGUUGACCAAUCGCCUGUAGCUUUCACCAAAGCAAGAGGGUAGGGGGGGAGGGGACGGCUCCCAAUGACGAGCCGGCUCCCGUCGUUCACUUCAAAGAGCCGGCUCUUAGAGCCGGUUCGUUCGCGACCGACACAUCACUACAACCCUGGUCCUCAGUGCCCCCUGUCCUACAUGUUUUCCAUGUCUCUGCUACAGCACACCUGGCUCACAUAUUUGCAUUGCUACCUUAGGAGGACAUCAAGCGCUGCAGAAACCUGUUAAUCACUCAUUAAUUUAAGUCAUGUGUAUGGCAGCAAAGAAACAAUGCUGUUGGAAGUGGCAACAUAGAAAACAUGCAGGACAGAGGGGUGCUGAGGACCAGUUUGGACUACUGCAAUGCGUUGUAUGCAGGUCUAACUCAGAAACAUCUUGUCAGGUUACAAUUAGUCCAAAACGCAGCUGCACGUCUGCUCACCAACAUCCCUAGGUGUCAAUACAUCACUUUAGUACACUCAUUACUUCAUUGGCUCCCUGUUAGAUUCAGAAUUAACUUCAAGAUUAUAAUGUUUGCAUUUAAGGGUGUUCAUGGGCUUGCACCAUCCUACAUAUGUGACAGUUUUUCAUUGCAAAAGCAGAGUAGAGAAACAAGGUCCUCAGGUAAAUUUUAUCUUCAUGUUUCGAGAUCUAAGUACAAUCAGUGGGGGGAUCGCUCAUUUUCGGUGGUAGCUCUGAAGCUAUGGAACAAAUACCCACCUCUCCCACUUUACCUACGCACGACUACUGAUGUAGCCUUAUUUAAGGUCUGUAUUAAAGACGCACAUCUUUUGCAUGGCAUUUGAAAAUCCUGAAGCGAUGUAAACUGUGCUUAUUCUUUUUACUAUUUUGUAGUGUAUUUUUUUAAUUAUUGGUUUAAUUUUUUAAUACUUUUAAAUUUGUUCUAAAUUGUUUUAAACUGGCUUUGAUAAUUUGCUUUUUUUACAGUGGUUUUUUAUAGCUUUAUUGUUUUAUUUUUUCUUUCUUUCCAUAUUUAUGUUAAGCACUUUGGUCACCCUCUGGUUUGUGUAAAACGCAAUAUAAAUAAACAUUCAUUCAUUCAUUCAUUCAUUCAUUCAUUCAUUCAUUCAUUCAUUCAAGUCCAUUAAACAGCUGCGAUAAACCAAAAUUCUUAAAGGAACAGAAACAUUAGGCUACAACAGCGCUCACCCUAGACCCCUCAUGGAUCACCACAAUAUUUAGAAAGAUGGUUUUUGGUGUUUACAGUGUUUCAUAAUAAUUCCUAAAAGUUAUGUGAUUAUUAAUUUCCUGAUUUUGUUGGUUUAUUUUUCGGAGCAGAGUUACACUCAGAACACACCAGCUGCGAAGCGCCGCAAAGUGCGUGGAUCACUCGCGAAUUUUGUGCGCUGUCCGCUCCUCUGUUCACAUCAGGCGAGAAUUUUCACUGAGCGCUUCUGCUCACGCCUACUGUUUUCCAUGGUGGAAUGAGGGAACUGCAGUACUGAAGGUUUCAUUCAUCCAUGAGUGUUUCUCAUACACAAAUUAAAUUUACCCAGUAUGUAGUAUGGCAGUGGCAAAAUGGCUUUUUUGCACAACUGGUGCUAAAGACAAUAAAAGACAUCUGUGACCGACGGGAAUCUGACAUUAUAGCAUGGCUGUUCUGUGUUAUUGGGGGAUUUACCAGAGUGUGCUCUCUGGGAGAAUGCGUUCUUCAUGAGCACGCUGAUCUCAAAGGAAAUCCUUCUGCUAUGCUGUGAUUUGGGACCCUUUGUGGCAUGAGAGAUAAGCCGCACAAAUCCGAUUCUAGUUCAUAUUUAACUUACUACGAGAACCCCCAGAACCUCCUCUGCUCCCCGAUCAUACAUGCUGCGUUGCCAAGGUAACCAGACUGAAUGACCACGGUGAAGAAAGUCAAUGGGUCAUGGGCAGACUGUAUAUUCACAUCUAUAACGGGGCUUUCACAUCUAGGUCUGCCCGGCCCUGUCCUGGUAGGUUAAUUGUGUUCACAUCUGUGUAAUCUGUGUUUUCUGAGCGCAGUUGAUCAUUUUUUUCCUGACCUGCUUUCUGGCGGUUAGCAUGGUGCGGAGCUGACCCAACACAUCCACUACCGACUGAUUGACCAUCUGAAGUUCACGCUUGCCUACAAGAGGUAGGUUGGCAGCUAGAGUCAGCCAGUGGCAGCUUUCCGCUUACUAUUUGGCACGGCCACAUGUCUUACAAUAAAAAGAUGAAAUUAUUACAAAAAGUAAAGUAACAAAAAUUCAUACAACAUUCCCUGAACAUUUUGUUGACCAGUGGAUUCCAUUACGAAGAACUUGGUCUGCCAAAAAUAAAUGAAUAAAAGAACCAGCUUGAGUUCGGUUGUGUGUGUGUGUGUGUGUGUUUUAUUUUUCCUAAAGGUGUUAGUGAGGUUUCAAGGUUUUCAUAAAAUAAACAGUGACCUGCUUGAUAUUCAAGAUACAGUAAUCCCUCGUUUAUCGCGGUAGAUGCGUUCCAGACCUGGCCGCGAUAGGUGAAAAUCCGCGAAGUAGGGACUCCCAGCAUGCCCCUCGCGGGGAUUCCCUCCACGUCGCACCUACGUCACAAACCGCGGCUAUAAACGGAAGUCACCUUUCCAGCUCACCACUAAGUCAUUGUUUCUUCAGAUUCAUGAUCAGAGUUUCCAACCUACCGAUCAAUCCAACGAACUAUCAGCUCAUAGUAAGUUAUCUUACUUACUUCUGGAAAGCCCGGCAUUUCCGUGUCACUUCGUUGACGCUCGAACGCUCGGGGGUUUCCUAGAUCAGCCGGCGUUUCACCGACGCUAUCACUUCCGCGUCUGUGAAACCACGCUCCCUAUUGAAUUAUCGUAUGAUCACAUUCUCUUUUUGUGGGUAAAACUCAAGAAAAAAAAUGUUUUACUUGCUUUUUUUAGUUUUAUUACAAAAUGUGCAUUUUAUGAUGAAAUUGAUGAAAAAAAACUAGAAUUUCUUGAUAUUUCGCAUAGAAAAAUACCGCGAAUCAGUGAAAAAUAUCGCGAAUCUGCGAAUUCCCCCUGAAAAAUGCUCCAAAGAAAAAAUCCGCGAAGCAGCGAAUCCGCGAUGAACGAACCGCGAAGUAGCGAGGGAUUACUGUAUUCUAUUUGCAACCAAUUACCAUUUUUUAUCACUUGCUAUUUAUGUGAGUCAAUUAUAAGUUGUUUAUCCAACAUUUUAAAUGAUCUAAUGUUUUUACAUAAUUUUAAAGUCACAUCAAGUUUAUUCCACAGUUUGAUACCACACACAGAUACACACAUACUUUUCAUAGUUGUUCGGUAUAAUGGAAAAAUUAAGUUUUUAACGCCUCUCAACUCAUAACCUUCUUCAUGAGUUUUAAACAUCCUUUGCAAGUUACCCGGUAGUACACCCAUCAUGGCCCUAUACGGUACUAGGACAGUUUUAAAUUGAAUUAUAAUUCAGAAGGAACAGGUACAUAGAGUUUAUUUACAACAAGUAAAUAAUGAGCAUGUCCAACUAAGUCAGUGUUUCAGCACCUUCUGGAGGAAGAAAGGGGUGUUUAGGGGUGAGGAAGAACGAUGAAGAUGACUUGUAAGAAGAAUGAUGAAUCAGUAUGGCUUAUGAUUAAGGAGUUCAGGCCAGACAGGCAGAUGACAGCUAAAGAUGAUGGAGCUGAAGUAGAUGACCAAGAAGUGUGUGAACAUCCAGAGAUUUGUCACGGAGAGCUUUGUGGUUGAUGUGAAGACCAACAAACAAAUUCAACCUGGAAGGCACAGAGAAUAGGAGGAAAGAACUGGAGCAAGGUGAGCUAGAGUCACAAAUACAAUUUUCCCAACAAAAGAGAAAAUACUCAAGAUGACUGUACUCAUGGGUUUGACUCAGAAAUUCUGAUCAUCAGGCAAAGUCAGGUUGCAUAACUGCUCCUCAAACCUCCAGCAGUCAGAUGAGGUGAUUGCAGACAGGUGUGGUGAGUCUGGAGCAGGACAGCCUCGCUCAACAGAAAUCUUCUGAUCAGGUAAAAAUCUCCCAAAUGCACUCCAACACACCAGGAUGUGGAAAAUGUUUUUGGUAUUUGCAAAGUUUUAAAAACGGUUCAGAUGGUAGCAGCAUUUUGGAUCAUGGGGGAUUAAGGAGGGGGAGCAGUUCUUGUGUAUCUAUUGCGUAGGUUUAGCUAACUAGUAUGGCUUGGGUUAGGUUCACACUGCAGGCCUUUUAAAGCUCAAUUUAGAUUUUUUUGAGUAAAUCUGAUUUUUUUGUGUGUGGCUGUUCACACGUCACUGAAAUACAACAUCAAAGUCUCUCUAGUGUGAAAGCUUAACAGCCACCCGCACGUGCAGGAGACAAGUUACAGAGUGGAGUCAGACAGGGGCGUGUCCAGAUCUUUUAAAAUGGGGUGGCCCAGGCGAGGCACAACUUUGCGCAUGGGUGGCACCAAUGGUUAUGCUUUUUUUGUUUUACCCCCCAAGCCUUUUGUGGACAAUGAAAAGCCUAUUUAAAGGUGAACUAGUGUGGUGGCACCUGGGGUGGCCAACCAGAUUCCAAGGGUGGCAUGUGCUACCCCAGGCCACUCCCUGGACACGCCCCUGGAGUCAGAACCAGGAGAGGUGGAGUUGUGAUGUAAAAGCCUUCUGUGACAGCUCAUCUACAUCCACACCUGUCAUUUCUCCCUGUUUAGGCUGGAGACAGUUUUUAAAACUCUAAACUGUUUUACUCCGUACUUCCACCGUCUUCCCAAACUAUUAUUCAGUAAAAAUGUCCUGCGGAGUCGAAACUGGAGAGGUGCUUUGCUCCAGCAGUACUCCACUCCCGCUCUCAUGAUCUCCUGUAUUUUUAAUUCCAACGCUUGACAUGAUGUCCUGACAGACCCCUGAAUCCUUAUGUCAGGGCUUCCCCUCAGGAACGUUAACACGCAAUGCUCACCCCUGCUGACUCUGUGACGUAGGAGGCAGCCUUAAGCUUGGUUUAUGCUUGACGCAUUCACUUUCCGCGCGGUGAUGCGGCUCGCGGAUGGAACACGCUUCACAACUCGCAGCGUUUAUGGUUCGUGCGGCUCGUCUCUGCGGUGAGCCAAUAUUCUCCCAAACUGUAGGGGGCAGCAUGGAGCUCUACGGCAUGCACGCAACACUACACCAUAGUAGAAGUAGAAAUUACUGUUUACAACAUGGCAUUUCAGCAUUUUUUAACAGCUUCCUCGUCUUUUCCGACAGUGCGAGCUAUUUCUCUCCAAGAAUUAUUUACAACAUGUUGAUCACGGUGAUCUUUGAGAGCUGAAUCAUACAAAUGUCUGUAUUUACGAACCUCUGCCAUACUAGUUCUUGCCAGUCCGCCAUGUUUUUCCACGUCCGACCGUCCACGUGGUUAGAAAAUUUCCGAGGUGCGAGUUGCGGAAAUUUUGGGCCGUGCGGAGGCGCGGAGGAGGGGCCUGGUUGUUAAAAUGACGCAACUUUUCCGCGCGGAGCCGUGCGGACCUCGCGGACGCGUCAAGCAUAAACCAACCUUUAGAGCCAUAUUAUGCACGUUUUCAUCUUUAAAAUCAUUUUCUAGAGCCAGUGUGUGCUAAAAUGACCCUUCACAAGGUUAAUGAAAGGUCACUCAGACCCUCGCCACCCCCUGUGGCCAGAAAACCACAUUCGCAACUUCAGACUGGCAAGCCGCUACCUGCUGGACCUCAGUCUGGUUCCAGCACGUUUCCUGCUUGUUUUAGAUUGUGAACACAGCUGAUUUGUUUAAUUUCAUUGAAUAAUGAAUCACUCCUGUAGAAACCAAUGCAGACUGAGGAGACAUUUCAGCAUUUAGAUUAAGGUCAUUUUUGGUUUGACAACAGAAAAUUUAAUACAGACACCAGGGGGUGCUAAUAUCAAGCAAAAUUGCCAAGUGUGCAAUUAAUGCAAUAUGACCAUUCAGACUGAAGUCGCUGUCAAACAUCAGGUACGCAUCAGAAUCAGUACCACAUAUGAAAAUGACCUGGAUCAGAUUAAAAAAAACUGCAUUUAUGCAGAUAUGGUUCAGAUAUGGGGAAAGAAAAUCUGAUUUAUAUGCCUUUGCUUGCAGUGCGAACCUAGUCUAAGUCAAUAAGGGUUUAAAGUUGGACUGGCUAGGACUCCCAUCAGCAUCAUGCUAGCAUGGCAUGAUGCUGUGUGACGUUUCCUGAUUCCUGAUGUUUGGUAAUGUCACUGGUGUCUGUGACAGGGCUGUUGUGAAAACAUAAAGCUGAUACAUAGCAUGAUGCAGGUGCAGGAGGUGGGAGAGAGUCCCUGGGUCUCCCUGGGGAGGCUUUCCAAAUUUGCUCCAAUCUAGCCCCCACGUAGUGUGAAGGUCCUGGAGAGCAGCGAUCUUUAGAAACCUUACUAAGUUGCAAAUGUUAUUUUAUUUCCAACUGCCAAUAGUUAUUUAGUUGACCAAUUAAAUAGAGGAAUUAAUGAUCUGUGCCAAAUCGUAUUACAUUAAAAAAUGUAAUGUCUUUUUAUAUUAUAUUAUAUUAUAUUAUAUUAUAUUAUAUUAUAUUAUAUUAUAUUAUAUUAUAUUAUAUUAUGUUUUAUGUUUGUAAUAUGUGAUACUGAUGCCCCUUCCAAUAACCUCCAGUCAAAUUCAGUGUCCCUUGCAUUAAAUUCCCUAUGAGAAGCUGCCAAGUCUUUAAUUAUGCUGUGAUAUUAAAUUUGGUUUGAAGGAACGGAGCAGGUUGUUGGCUGUAAAGCUGGCCCUAUGCCCAGGUUCAUUGUCCCCAUACAAAUGGACAAUUUCCUACUUACUUUUAGGUCUUGUUGGCAUUCUGAAGCUUUGGAACUUAGUUGCAGAAAAAAAAAAUAUGGCAACUAGUCUUUGCUUCGGAGCAUUCUUGUAACUGAUUUACCCAAGCCGAUUUCUGACGAUCAUGUCCUUGUUGUUAAGUCAACAAGAUUCACUGAGAGAGAAAACAAGGCAAGUAAAAUAAUAAACGAUGUUCAAAGGUUAGAAUAUCCUUAAAAAUAGAAAAGCUUUGUUUUGAACUAACUGUAGCAGGCUCUGUAAGCCUAUUAUUAAUUAGUAAUUAUAAAUGUCAAAUGAUUCUCAGAUUUUACUAUAGUCAAAACUCAAGUUGUUCACUACUUAAGGCUUGAUCAUUUGCUCAUUUUAGGUUUUAUAUGUGCAAAAUCUAAACAGGAAUGACCAAAGCCCAUUGUUUGUUCCUAAAUCCAACCAUAACCAGCAAAAGCCACCAUUGUUAAAUCUGAUAAACAGUAUGUACCUUUGAGGUUAAUUUGGUGAAGCAAGUAAAAUACAUUGCAGAAAUACUUUGUUUUCCAAAAGGAGAUUCAAAAUGGGGUAUUAUUUAGCGGCUUGUUACAAGACACUUGUUACAUAUUUCUGAUGACAAUGAAACACAACUCAAAAACACUAGAUCAGCAUAACGCAGUUAACAAAACACACAGAACCUCCAGAUGACCUCUGUUGAUCUGCUUUUAUCACCUGGCAGGCUGGACUUGUUUUUGAUAAAAAUGAAUGAAAAAAAGCACUUUUAUAGGGAAUGCUUGAUUGUGGCUGUUUGCUGCAGGGGUCUUUCAGGAGGCUAUUGGAUGUCACACAAGCCGGGUAAUUUCACAAAUCGGACCCCAAAUCUGGUUCUGCUGGUGGAGAUGGGAAGGGUGGCAUUGGGUUUUUACAAAUAUCAAGCUUGGGUUUUGGUAUUUCAUCAAGGUGAAGGGACGGGGUGUGACCUCCACUGUGAAGCCCUUGGGAGUUUGAGGGAAGGAGCCUGGUCGGUAGAUGUGUGUUUUUUCUUCACCUGUUUAUUAACACGUGCAGAUCAGGAGAAUCAGGAGAACUGGUCAAAGAUGGCGGUGCAGGUUGUGAUUCUUGGCAUGUUCUAAGACAGCUGGGGCUGCAAGAUGCCUUGGAGGUGUCCAGCCUUACCAAAGAAGAGGGGAGACACUGUUGCAUCAUUAACAAAAACCAGAACAAUCAUGUUGAUAAUUUUAUUUAGCGUGUUUUAAUAAUUUAAAAAAUAAUAACUGGGUUGAUACUGUCAGCAGCUGUUUAUUUUACACACUGGUACCUUCAAUGUUACUAAUGGCUGACUCUUUGGGCCCUUAAAACCAUAGAAAGCACUAAGGAAUAAAGGAUGUGAAUAGAUGAAACCAUUUCCCACUGGGGUCUAUGGUCAUUUCUGUGAUACGUCCAGCUUGAUUACUUGAAAUUUAAUUUGACAAUGGUUCUUUGGAUCAUUUGCCAAAAAACACUUUUACACUAUAAUGAAGGGUUGGAAGACAGCCAGGAUGGCAACAAUAGAAGCUAAUACUUUAUAGAUUAUGGCUGGAAAAGCCCAGGAAAGGGAGUAGCCUACACUCCAGAACCAAUCAUCUGAACAUAGAUAAACCAUGUUCAACACAGUCCUUCAAAUUAAUGGUAAUACACACAUGCGGCUGGAUAACAAGGCCUCUAGAUUUAUUUUACUCAUUUUGCUUAUGAGUUCUGUCAGAUUAGGCAUCUUGUUUCUGUUUCUCUGCUCCUACAGAGAAAAACCUUUGUGAAGGGUUCAAAAAGAGAAUCCAUGAAGUAGUGCAGGCCAGAUGGAGUGAUGAAAGUAAAUAAAGAUGUCAAUACUACCAUCUCAUUUGGGGCGAUGAAGGCACAGGUGUUAAGUGCUCGCCCCGUAAUCGUAAGGUUGCAGGUUUUAGGCCCGCUCAGUCUGACGUUGUGUCUUUGGGCAAGACGCAUAACCCACCUUGCCUGCUGGUGGUGGUUGGAGGAACUGGUGGCACCUGUGUACGGCAGACUCGCCUCUGUCAGUGUGUCCCAGGCCAGCUGUGGCUACAAUAUAGUUAAUUAUCACCAGGGUGUGAAUGUGUGUGUGAAUGGGUGAAUAACUGAUUGUUGUAAAGCAGUGGCGGCGCCGGGGGGCGCUAGGGGGCAGUAUAGCUACCCCUGGAUUAGUCAUCGCACCCCCAAGUAAAUAUUAGAUUUAUUUAGUUUUACAAUUUAAUUUUAAUUUAACGUGUGGAUGUGAUAAUAUUUAACAAACAAAACAAAAUAAUCAGUAAAUUAUCAUAUAGAUAGUAAAAACUUGAUGUUAACCUUUGACCUAAUUUUCCACCUGUGAACGAGUGAAAGGUAGAGCUAGUGGUAAAAUGGAUCGGUUUUUGUUGCCAAAAUUUCCACGGGUUCAGUCAGAAACGAAUGCAUGUUUGGAAGUGAUCUCAGACCCACAAACACCUACGGAUCUGGAUGAAGAGAGUCAACCCUCAACCGCCGCAGCAGUCCAGGGUUUUGCCGCUGGAAAUGCUAACACUAACGUUAGCUAACCUUACAACACUAUAGAUGGUUUUCUGUGUGGCUGUAUGUGUUUAUGAUUUCAUGGAAAAGUCAGCGAUUGUUCAUAUGUUUAUGAUGUAUAUUAAUGAUUGUUUCUGGUGUUGUUGAGGUUUUGUGCACGCAUGUGUAUCUGCUAGUGUUGAAGGUGUUUUAGAGAACAAUAGGUACGCAUGACCACUUCCAUCAUAGCACCCUCAGUAAAAAGACUAGCUCCUUCAUAGCACCUGCAGAAAAAAAAUCUGGAGCCGCCACUGUUGUAAAGUGCCUCGGGGGGUUGCAGGACUCUAGAAGGUGCUAUAUCAAAUACAGGCCAUUUACCAUUUUUACCAUCAUUGUUCAAAGUGGCAGGGUUGGUAUGGUUUUGGAUGCUAGCUAAGUUAUUGUACAAUAACUAAGACAUUGGCUGUUUUUGUUGUAAAGAUAGCAGAGAAAUGUUUUAAUUUGACACAUGAAAGAGUUGUAAAGCAGUCAAAAUGUCCUUCAAUAAUGUCAUUUAUGUGAAUACCUUAAAAGCAGAAAACCUAUCAUCCAUUCUAGGAUUACACAGAUGGCCUUACAGACAAACUGGUUAUUUUAGCUUUCAAGAUCCAAAUUAGAAAAUAUAUUUCUGGAAUCUGUCAUGAAACUUUUUUUUUUGAGCUUUUCUUCUCCUUUACUUGUUUAUUCACAGCUGAGCGGAUGAGAAGGUAUUUGCUCUUCUCCUAAAUUGCCACCUUGUGUCUCAUCUGUAUAAUUUAUGUGCUGUGCUAACAAAUACAGAAGAAUGACACCACACUUUAUUGCCAUAAUGAGAUGUAAUUGGAUCUAAUUUGCUGUUCUAUCCAUACAUAAAUCAUUUAAAAGAGCUGCGGUGUUAUUCUCUGCAAUGGUGUGCUGCAAAGGGUCAGCCUAUUCAUUAAAGGACUCUUCUCAGCGUUGUUAUUAAAUGUUUAGGGUGUCUACAUCUAACCUUAGAUAUAGAGAAACAUAAAAGGAAUACAAAGAAAUGAAAGAAAUGCAUGUGAGAACUGAGGAGUAAUUAUGGAAUUAAUUUAAAAACUACUUGCAGCAGAGCAGGGGCGGAUGUAGGACUGAAGAAGAUCCGGGGCUUAACACACACACACACGUGCGCGCGCACGCGCACACACGCGCGCACACACGUGACACGCACUAGUCAACAUCAUAUAUGUCUUGUACCACAUAAUUUUUAAUCUGAAGCUACACAUUAAGCAUUUUCAGGGCAGAGUAUUGUUCCUGUUAGUGUUUAGUGUGAGAUGAUAGUAAAUAUUGCCUUUCUUUCUCCAUCAACUUUACCUGAUAGUAAGCUAACUUUAGGCAAACCAGCAGCACAACAAAUAUUUUCAAAUAAGACUCACAAACCUGAGUCAACACCAGUCUCAUCAAAGCUGGGGUUCCGUCGUUGUACUUUUGGUCUAAAAAAACGUCCUUAUGUCCAUCUUCACUCAUGCGUUUCAGACAGAGAGUGUAGAAGAAGCCGGCUGCUGAAGGGCUUCUUCUUCAGUGGUGGAGGCUCAGGCAGGCUGUAUACAAACUACUGCCAGCUGCGCCCUCUCUGUUGGACUUUGGUACUGCAUGUUACUUCCGCGAUUUAGAUCCGGGGCUUUCCAUGAAAGAUCCGGGGCUUCAGCCCAAGUAGCUGGGCCUAACGCCGCCCCUGCAGCAGAGCUGAAGUUAUCUUCAGCCAAAAACAUGAUUAAUGCAGUAUAUUUACGAACAGCCUUAUCACACUCAUAAUUUAGGAAUAAAAAAACUUUAGCUGACUUUUAUGUGAAAAUUAAUUAUCUCUGCUGGGCUUCAUAACGUCAAGUCAAACUUAAUUUGAUGUUCAAGUUGUUAUGGUGAAUGGAAAAUGCAUCAAUUAAUAAAAAGAGACAUAGUUGAAAAUGGAAUAAAGGGGUAAAUAAAUGAAGAUAAAUGGUUACACUGGUUGCUUGGCAAUGAGAGAUGGGAAGAACUUGUGACAGUUUUCCCUCUGUGUGAAAACUGUGAAUAUUUUACACUAUUUGAGUUUUUUAUGUUUGGUUUCUAAAAGUAUUGGGAAUGGCAAGGGCUGUGGCAGAUGAUGGUUUUCAAUAUGUGUGGAAAAAUAAAAAUAAAGUCUGCUAAAUAAAAAUCAUCUGGUCUUUUUCUGGUUAAAAAUCUUCAAAUCUUACCUAAAGUAUACACAUAACUUGCUGGUUUCAUAGCCAUGGCGUUAGAAUGGCGCAGCGGCGUGCCUGAGCCUAUGUAGGGGAAACACUAUUGCCGGCAUUAUGUGGAGUUUAUUUAUAUAAAGAAAGUGCUUGACAUGCAGACAAACCCCAAUCAGACUGCAUUCUGUCCUUUUGGGUCUAAGUGUUUAGCAUUUAGCAGGCUAGCAUGGCUGUAUUGUCUUGGGGUGAUCUGAGCUCUCAUUAUAAACCAGUUAUUUUGUUUACUUUCCAAAACCUUGACAUGGAGCUAAAUGUGCCUCUACACCGACUUUGUGUCCCCAAAGCUCUUUUUUGUGUUUACAUUUUUCUCCAGAGUAAUCUAUUGGUAAGUCAACAUCAUUAAGCACCUAGAAUCUGACGAGGUUUAAAGUUUAAUUUCACACGAAACAAAAGAAUGAGGACUGGGAAAUGAGGAGGGAAGGACUAAAAGGGUAAAGAAUCUGAGGAGUGGAGGUGUUUGAUCAUUGUUUGUGUGCCUGGGGUGUGUGCGGGAAGUCGUUUCCUAACAAAUAAUACAUCCACCAUGGGGCCUUCUCUCUUUUUAAAGACUACCUGUUCGGUGGUGAUGAUUGAAAUAUUAGUAUUUACAUAAACUCACUGUGGAUUCACUAAUUAGGCUGAAAAAAGGUGUAUGUCUUUGUGACUCUGAUUGGACUCCGAAACAUGCUGUUGCUCAGAUGUCUCACUGGGUAACAUGCUAAAGCACUGUCAGGCACACAUAUGAGGCCCUGUCCACACAGAGCCGGGGAUCUGCCAAAACGUAGAUAUUUUUCUACGUUUUGGCCUGUCAUCCACACGAAAACGGAGUUUUUUCACACGAAAAUGGAUAUUUUUAAAAACUCCGGCCAAAGUGAAGAUCUGCGUUUUCUCCAUUUUGGGUGUCUGCGUGUGGACAGACAAAACCGGAGUUUUAAGGUCCGCAACGUCACUUUCCGCGACUAAAAAAUGCUGACAUCACGUGUGCGACCUGUGUUUACACUAGCCGACAGCAUGGAUGCCCUCAGAGCUGCGCUCGCUUUAUCAAUUGUCCAAGCGCUUUUUGCUUGUUUGUUUUUGCAAGAGGAAUCACUGCUCCUUGCGGAAGACCACAGACGAAGGACGAGGUUAAGAACGGGGGAAGUACUGCCGCCUACAGGUCUGGCAUGUCCUUAACAACGUAUUUAUCCGGGUACGUGUGGACAGAUUUUUUUUUAAACGAGGUGGUGUGGAUGCAAGUUUUUAGAGGGGCGGAUAUUCGUUUUUUUUAAAAACCCGGCUACGUGUGGACUAGGCCUUAAUAAGCCAGGUUUACCAUUGUACGGAACAAGUUGCUUGUGCAGUGUUAAACAUUUAUUGCUUUCAAGAUAAAUAAUAGAUUUUAGUAUUUUACACGCACAAAUAAAAAUCAUAUAAUGAUAGAACUGAAAUAAAUUUAAAAGUGUUCAUCCAUCCAUUCAUCUAUCCAUUUUCCUAUGAUUAUCAUCAUGUCAUGGGGACAGCCUCCCUCUCCGAGAAACUAAAGCCGUGUUUCUGUGGUUGGAACUUCAGGGUAAAUUCUGGGAGUGGGAAAUUGACGGGGAGAUACGAUGUCUCGAUCCACUUACCUGUUGUGUCUCCAUUCAAAAUCAGCUCUUUCAGGACUUGGCACAGGUCAGCAUGUUGCUGUUCUUACAGCAGUGAGUGAUGUCACUGAUCAGCACCCAAAAGCAUCCACCGUAACAUUAAAAACAUUAAAUGUUUUAUUUUGUCUGUUACGGCCGCCGCCGCCGCCGUGUGGUGAUUUAAAUCUGGUUGUAGUUGCUUUCUUGUGAAGAAACAACUUUAGGACUUUUGUGCGUGUUUUGGGAUAAGUUAAACUGGUAGACAUUUGGUUUUGGUGUGUCUUUUAGACCAUCUUUUGGCAAAUUCCCAGGUGGGAUUUCUCCCCUUUUGAAGUGUCUGAGUUCCUGAGCUGUUUUAGUGGUUUGGACACCUUUGGUUAAUUCAGUGUUUUUGGUUGGUUUGUCUUUCAGACAAACUUUUUUUGUUUAACAAACUUGGUGGGGGUUUUUGCCCCUUUUUGAGUUUCAUUCCCUUUUAAAGAAAGGAGGUUUAAUUUGGAUUGAUGGCGGUUGGUCCUUUGGACCUUUUUAGUUAAUUAUAUACGAUUUGCGUUGGUAAUUUCUAGGUAAGGGUUUUUUGGCCCUUCUUUUGGUUCUCCUUUUUUUUUUAAAUUAAACCUUUGAAAAUACAAGGACACUUUGAGUUUGGUUUUGCUUGGUCAAGCCUUUUUCUCCCCAAUAAGGGUCACUUUUUGUUAUACUGGUCCACCUUAUGUUUAUUCCCCUCUCCUUCCUAGCUGAGCCAACAGAGGGGUGUAACAUUGUCAAAGUAUAUCAUAAUUUAAUCCAUUCAGAGGAUGAAAGCAGCUGCGUGAUGCGAAAUGUGGCGUUCAAUGAUCAGAAAGUUUUUGUGGUGCUUUGUGAGACCACAAAGCACCAUUAAUUACGUGGUUUGGGGACAAGUCUGCCUUGUUUUUCUGUGUUGUGAGUUUAGUAACAGCAACUUUAAAGCAGUACAAUUUGUGUUUUUUUUUUUUUUUACACUUCUAUUCUGCUUCAUAAGCAACUCAUCCAAUUUAACUAAUGCUGGUUGUUUUGAAUGGUGUUAGUUAACCAGGAAAACCAACAGUUCCGCUCAGCAACUCCUACCCUUGAUCAGGUACUCAGAAAGUUCCUGAAAACGGCCAUUCGGAGACACGUGCAUGCCGGGAAUUUGUGGUAAAUUUACUUCAAAGUUCCGGGAGUGGAAACACACUCACUGUCCAUCCAGCAUGCCCUGGGUCUUCCUCGGGGUCUCCAGGCAAACCUCACCAGUAAGGCAUUCAGAAGGCAUCCUAACCAGAUGUCCAAGGUGGAGAAGUGAAACUCCAAAUUAGAUGUCCUAAUUUUCUCAGAAAUUUUUUUAUUAAAAAACAAAAACCUUUCAUUAAAAACUAGAUAAAAUGUGGUUGUGUUAUUAGACUGAGGUGUAGUCAAAGAGCUCAUUGGGAAAAGGGUACAUUACACACAGAUGAAGGACCUUUCUGGUGUUUUAGAAGGUCAACAAAAAGCUUUAGGUGUUUCUAUGAUUUUUCCUCUUGUUAGUCAAUAAAGGAUUUCAGAUCAGAGAUAAUGUUAUUUAAUUUGAUGUUAAAUGAUAAAUAAAUGAUAAAUGACCCGCACUUGUAUAGCGCCUCUCAUAGUAAGGACUCCAAAGCGCUUUACACUACAGUGUAAAUCAUUCGUCCAUUCACACAAUGGUGGGGAUGAGCUACGAUGUAGCCACAGCUGCCCUGGGGCGCACUGACAGAGGCGAGGCUGCCGAGCACUGGCGCCACCGGUCCCUCCGACCACCACCAGCAGGCAAGGUGGGUUAAGUGUCUUGCCCAAGGACACAACAGCAGAAUUCUCUGUCCGGAGCCGGGAUCGAACUUGCAACCUUCCGAUUACUGGACAACCCGCUCAACCUGUUGAGCUACUGCUGCCCAUAAAAAUGUUGUGUACAUUAAAGAAAAUGCCAAAGGGACCUAUGUCCCCUACUAUUACUUUGUGAUAGUUUAGACCAGUGGUUCCCAACCUUUUUGCCAAAGGACCCCGUUUUUUACCAGUAAAAUUUUUGACGACCCCCUCCCAUUCUCUCUUCCAGUACAAACAUUAUUAAGAAAUGAUAAAAUUGUUCAAGCACAUUUUAAUAUGCUUUGAUUCAAUAGAUAACAGUAAUAGUAGGCUCCAGUACAGAACAAAGUCAUUAACAAAACCAAACAGAGCAUAAUGUGCUUGACAGUUUGUAUUACUUUUCUGAACACAUUGUUUCUUGUAAACACUGAUAAAUCAAUCAUUCCUUUCAAUAAAUGUUUGACACAUAAAAAUACACUGAGCAAAAUGUACUUAAAUGUGUAUAUUACUGUUUAUACUAGAUUAUUUACUGUAAACGCUGUGAUUAAUCAACCAGUCCUAUCUGUAAUGAACUUUUGACACUUGAAAUUAAAACAGUGAGCUGAGCAAAAUGUUCUUAAAAGUGUUACUUUUUCUGUACUAAUUAUUUCCUGUCUUAAUAUCAGUAAACUUUUCACUCAUGAAAAAAAGUGAGCAAAAUGUAGGCUAUAAACAAGUAAUAAAUGACGUUUCAACCCCUUAAAGUGGAGAGGUCCUGGCGACCCACUGAGAGGCUUUGGCGCCCCCUUGUGGGGGUCGGGACCCCCAGGUUAGUAACCACUGGUUUAGACCACUAUAGAACUGGGUUGACAACAUCACGAUCACAGUGGAUGCUUUUUAUGAGUUACCUUGGUAACACACCAACAUGAGCUAGGACAACAUGUUUAUGCUAGGUAGGUUAAAGCAACACACUCCCUUAUCAGAGGAUGACACAAACUAUAAUUAAACUCAUUCUUUGUGCUGAACCAUUGCAGCAAUAAUAGGUGAGAUUUGAAACCUUGUUUUUAACUAGCAGGCAGCAGUAUCCCAGGAGGUAGAGUGGGUUGUCCAGUAAUAGGAAGGUUGCAGGGUAGAUCUCGGCUCCAGACAGAGGAUUCAGCAGUUGCGUCCUUGGCCAGGACAUUAAAUCCGCCUUGCCUGCUGGUGGUGGAUGUCAGAGGGACCGGUGGUGCCUGACAGCCUCGCCUGUCAGUGCGCCCCAGGGCAGGUGUAGUUCACCAUCACUAACAUGGGAAUGUGUGUGUGAAGAUGCAUGAUUCACUAUAAUGUAAAUCGUUUUGGAGCCCUCUGACUCAAGGUGCUAUACAAGUGCAGGUCAUUUAUCAUUAUCAUUUAAUUAUUCAACAACCAGAGGUCAAUUUUAAUUUAAACUCCAACACAAGUCAUUGUUUCCUGCACAGACCAAAAACUGGGACACAGUUCUUCAAGGAGAAGACUGUUAAAAGUGUGUAUUACUCAUGAGGAGUGUUUAAAAGGCCGUCUUCUCUUUCUAUACGUGUCUCUCUCUUGUCUUUAUACAGCACAUUUGUAUUUCCAUCACUUCCAUGUGUUUGUCAAACAAAUCACAGCUUAGAAAAUAACUUGGAACCUGUUUAUUUUGAGCCAAGUUUUACACUCAGAGUAAAUGCCAUCCCCUAAGUCAGAAGAAAACAGCAGACAGAGUAACAGUGGAAAGUUGAUUGAAAUCAAGUCGAUGGGGAAGUCUUCUUGCAGAUAAUCUCAUCCCAGCACUGCUUGAUCUGCUGCAUUAAUACUCCACUAAACCAUGACCUGAUGACCUGUUCGUGUCUCUUACAGUGAAGAGCAUUUGACUAUUAGAAGACCUUUCUGCUGCUGCUCUUCUUUUACAUAAAAGGCACUUCAGUCAAGAGAACUGUUGUCUUUGAAACCUAAUUUGGAACACGUUUACAAAGACUUUUGUUUGAUGGUUCUUGAAAGUUAGAAAAAAGAAGAAAUAACGGAUUUUUUCUUGUAUCUUUUCUCAUUAGCACACGAGUCACAUGCCUUUGCUCACGCUCUCCCCUCCUGGACUUUUCACUGCCUCCAUUUGACUCACUGACAUUGACACUGUGGGUGUUUGUUUCGUCAGCAAGCCGCAGACGGAGGAGGAACAGGAAAGCAAUGCUAGAACAAAAUUCUCAACUGCAAAGGAAGAAGGAAGGAGAACGGAAAAUGUGAGAAAACAGAAUAGAAGGUAGAAACAAAGAAAAGGAAUACAUUUGAACAUGGUGGAAAGAUAUGUGAACUAGGGAUAGGUACCUUUGACAUUUGAAUCGAUCCGGUGCUAAUUCCCAGUACCUACGAAUCGAAACCGGUACUUAACGGUACCAAUUUUCAAUAUUUUGAGUGUUUAUAAUUUUAAUUCUCUUUUAUAAUUAAAUAUAAAUUUUUCUCAAUAUAUAACAAUAUUUGAUAUAUAUCACGAUAAAUAACAUACAACUGUUUGUAUUUUAACAUCGUCCUUGUAGUUUUAUAAGCUGAUAAUUAGGGCUGCAACUAACGAUUAUUUUCAUAAUCGAUUAAUCUGUCGAUUAUUUUUUCGAUUAAUCGAUUAAUCGGUUUGUUACUGUUUAGCUAUUUAACCUAUACAAGUGAUGGAUGCAUUUCAGUUAAGAAAAAAAAACAUAAGAGAAUUGUGCAGUUGACUGCAAUCUAUUUUAUUGCACAUGAACACAGUCAGCAGUAGAAAAUGAGCUAAACAGUGCAAAAUAUCAGUCCAGAAUAAUUUUUUAGCAUUAGCUGGAAGCCUGCUCCUUCCACCAUGGAUAGUGGCCUCAUGUCUUUUACCAGCAUGUUUAGAAUAGAGUUUGUAAGUGGUAUGAAUUGCUGGGGGGUGAGUGUCUUGUUCCCCAUGUAGUUGUCCAUCGUUGCUUGUUUUUUUCUGCAUAAGAAACACAAAUAGACUGAAAUAAGUACACAUAUAAAAUAAAGCAGCACACACACUACAACACUAAAUCAAUGUUAAAUUAUUUGAAUUAAUUAACAAUAUACAGUGAUCAUUUAUUUUGAGGGUUACGUUCUACAAAAUAGCCCGCAACAGGAGAUAUUAAGAAAAAAAGUCUAAUUUUUUUACUAUUAAAAAGCUCAGAGUAAGAAGCUCAUGAGGUUUUUACUUUGAGUCGGGAGUGUUUAAAUUAGCUAGAGAAAUGUGAAAAAUGUUUAUUUUGUGUAAUACUGUUUAAGAAACAUGAUAAAAAUGUGUUGUGAGGCGUUUUACAGCGUUAGACAGUAAAACAGCCUUUUAAUAGUAAAAAAAA